ensembl:piRNA 21ur-14603 ncRNA
UUAAUCUGCGUGUCAUCGUCA